AUGGUGGUUUCCGAACUUGCAGGGAAGGGCGAAACCUUGCGGCUUUUGUCCCCACUGUCCGCUUCUAAAGUCCGAGAGCACCAGACAAGGAAGCCCGUCCCGGCUCUGCCCACCGGCCCCUCGCCAGGGGCUCAGUCCUCUCCCUGCUCCGAAGUGGCCUCCCCCAUUGGCGGGCCCCGUGCACCCCAGCAUUUGUCACGGCCGAGUGACAGACGGACGGGACGCAACUGCUGCGAAUGCUGUGCUUGUGGUCCGGAUGGGCCCCCGAGGGCUGGAACCCGUGUGGUCAUCGGGGGAACCCAUAGCUUCGGGCCUCCCUCUUGCACCCUCCCCACCCCUCCCCCAGCCCUGCUCCUGGGAAGAGCGCCCUCCCCCCCACAGAUGUGCAAACUUCAUCAGCAGCACUUGUCACAUCCAGAGGAUCCCUUUGGGGUCUGGGUGUGCCGGCCUCUUGGGGCACUGCACGGAGGGGUCAGCCCUCGGCCAGCCUUCGGUCCUCCUGGGCAGCCGCCUCGUCCUCCGCCCUCUGCUGUAGCAUCCACUGGGCUGGGACCUGUGUCUCCCUCCGCCCCGGCCAUCGGAGGCUCUGUGACACUGUCCCCCACAUCCAGCCCCUCAAGGCUGAACUCUGGGCCUGCAACCCCCUGCCCACCCUCCCGUCUCGGUCAGCGGGUCCUGGACCACCCAGCGGAGAGGCCACCACCAGCUCCCCAGCCCCCACACGGCCCCCCAGGCUGUCUCCAAAUUCCCACUCGUGUUCUUCCACUUUGCCCGCUUGAGCCUGAGCUACCACGGGCUCCAGGGUGGACACCCCAGGACCCCCCCAGCACCCCAGCUCCGCCUUCCUGCUCAGCCAUCGAAGCACCAGCAGGUGUGAUCCCUGGUUUUCCAGGAAGACACUGGCCACUUCCCACCAAACACUCAGGGGCAGGGCUGUGUGUUCCUAGGUGGACUCGUGCGGGCUUGUGUGUGCGUGUUUGCUCAUCAGACUUCCCCAGGCCCACGGUGUGUGCUCCAGGACCCAGGGGACCCAGCAGGCGCCGUCGUCCUGGGGGCGGGGUCAGAGCCCGGGGUGACAGGGAGGAUGGCCCCAGGGCCGAGAGGACAGGGGGCAGCGCCCCGAGCAAGGAGCCGCUAGAGGCUGGAGAGUGA
rnacentral:lncRNA from 12 species